rnacentral:misc_RNA from 1 species
GGUGGGAGCGGGCUUGCUCGCGAUGCUAGCAAUGGGGUUUGUCUGACGCGCCUUGAUGCUAUCGCGAGCAAGCCCGCUCCCACA